UACGUAGGUGGCAAGCGUUAUCCGGAUUUAUUGGGCGUAAAGGGAAUGCAGGCGGUCUUUUAAGUCUGAUGUGAAAGCCUUCGGCUUAACCGGAGUAGUGCAUUGGAAACUGGGAGACUUGAGUGCAGAAGAGGAGAGUGGAACUCCAUGUGUAGCGGUGAAAUGCGUAGAUAUAUGGAAGAACACCAGUGGCGAAAGCGGCUCUCUGGUCUGUAACUGACGCUGAGGUUCGAAAGCGUGGGUAGCAAACAGG
rnacentral:rRNA from 1 species